UACGUAGGUGACCAGCGUUGUCCGGAUUUACUGGGCGUAAAGGGCUCGUAGGCGGCCAACUAAGUCGGAUGUGAAAUCCCCAGGCUUAACCUGGGAACUGCAUCCGAUACUGGAUGGCUUGAAUCCGGGAGAGGGAUGCAGAAUUCCAGGUGUAGCGGUGAAAUGCGUAGAUAUCGUGAGGAACACCAGAGGCGAAGGCGGCUACCUGGACAAUUGCUGACGCUCAGGCACGAAAGCGUGGGGAGCAAAAGGG
rnacentral:rRNA from 1 species